AUACGGAGGGUCCGAGCGUUAUCCGGAAUCAUUGGGUUUAAAGGGUCCGUAGGCGGGAAUCUAAGUCAGUGGCGAAAUCUUGCAGCUCAACUGUAAAAUUGCCAUUGAUACUGGAUUUCUUGAAUUAGUGUGAAGUGGUUAGAAUGUGUAGUGUAGCGGUGAAAUGCAUAGAUAUUACACAGAAUACCAAUUGCGAAGGCAGAUCACUAACACUAUAUUGACGCUAAGGGACGAAAGCGUGGGGAGCGAACAGGAUUAGAAACCCCGGUAGUCC
rnacentral:rRNA from 1 species